GAUGAACGCUAGCGGCAGGCUUAAUACAUGCAAGUCGAGGGGCAGCAGUUUUGUAGCAAUACAGAAGCUGGCGACCGGCAAACGGGUGCGGAACACGUACGCAACCUUCCUUUAACUGGAAGAUAGCCCACCGAAAGGUGGAUUAAUACUCCAUAACAUAUUGAAGAGGCAUCUCUUUGAUAUUAAAGCUCCGGCGGUUAAAGAUGGGCGUGCGUCUGAUUAGGUAGUUGGCGGGGUAACGGCCCACCAAGCCUUCGAUCAGUAGCUGAUGUGAGAGCAUGAUCAGCCACACGGGCACUGAGACACGGGCCCGACUCCUACGGGAGGCAGCAGUAAGGAAUAUUGGUCAAUGGACGCAAGUCUGAACCAGCCAUGCCGCGUGGAGGAUGAAGGCCCUCUGGGUUGUAAACUUCUUUUCUUUGGGACGAAACCCCUGUUUCUACGGGGACUGACGGUACCAGAGGAAUAAGCACCGGCUAACUCCGUGCCAGCCGCCGCCGUAAUAC
rnacentral:rRNA from 1 species